GACGAACGCUGGCGGCGUGCCUAAUACAUGCAAGUAGAACGCUGAAGAGAGGAGCUUGCUCUUCUUGGUUGAGUUGCGAACGGGUGAGUAACGCGUAGGUAACCUGCCUUGUAGCGGGGGAUAACUAUUGGAAACGAUAGCUAAUACCGCAUAACAAUGGAUGACACAUUUCAUUUAUUUGAAAGGGGCAAUUGCUCCACUACAAGAUGUACCUGCGUUGUAUUAGCUAGUAGGUGAGGUAAUGGCUCACCUAGGCGACGAUACAUAGCCGACCUGAGAGGGUGAUCGGCCACACUGGGACUGGGACACGGCCCAGACUCCUACGGGAGGCAGCAGGAGGGAAUCUUCAGCAAUGGGGGCAACCCUGACCGAGCAACGCCGCGUGAGUGAAGAAGGGUUUCGGAUCGUAAAGUUCUGUAGUAAGUCAAGAACGGGUGUGAGAGUGGAAAGUGCACACUGUGACGGUAGCUUAACAGAAAGGGACGGCUAACUACGUG
rnacentral:rRNA from 1 species